UACAGAGGGUGCAAGCGUUAAUCGGAAUUACUGGGCGUAAAGCGUGCGCAGACGGUUGCGUAAGUCAGAUGUGAAAGCCCCGGGCUCAACCUGGGAAUUGCGAUGGAGACUGCAAGGCUUGAAUCUGGCAGAGGGGGGGUAGAAUUCCACGUGUAGCAGUGAAAUGCGUAGAGAUGUGGAGGAACACCGAUGGCGAAGGCAGCCCCCUGGGUCAAGAUUGACGCUCAUGCACGAAAGCGUGGGGAGCAAACAGG
rnacentral:rRNA from 1 species